GGAGGAGUGGCCGAGUGGUCGAAGGCAGCGGUCUUGAAAACCGCCGGGCCCGUGAGGGUCCCAAGGGUUCGAAUCCCUUCUCCUCCG
rnacentral:tRNA from 1 species